GGAAGUAAAAGUCGUAACAAGGUCUCCGUUGGUGAACCAGCGGAGGGAUCAUUACUGAGUUUACGCUCUACAACCCUUUGUGAACAUACCUACAACUGUUGCUUCGGCGGGUAGGGUCUCCGCGACCCUCCCGGCCUCCCGCCUCCGGGCGGGUCGGCGCCCGCCGGAGGAUAACCAAACUCUGAUUUAACGACGUUUCUUCUGAGUGGUACAAGCAAAUAAUCAAAACUUUUAACAACGGAUCUCUUGGUUCUGGCAUCGAUGAAGAACGCAGCGAAAUGCGAUAAGUAAUGUGAAUUGCAGAAUUCAGUGAAUCAUCGAAUCUUUGAACGCACAUUGCGCCCGCCAGCAUUCUGGCGGGCAUGCCUGUUCGAGCGUCAUUUCAACCCUCAAGCUCUGCUUGGUGUUGGGGCCCUACAGCCGAUGUAGGCCCUCAAAGGUAGUGGCGGACCCUCCCGGAGCCUCCUUUGCGUAGUAACUUUACGUCUCGCACUGGGAUCCGGAGGGACUCUUGCCGUAAAACCCCCCAAUUUUCCAAAGGUUGACCUCGGAUCAGGUAGGAAUACCCGCUGAACUUAAGCAUAUCAAUAAGCGGAGGA
rnacentral:rRNA from 1 species